rnacentral:rRNA from 1 species
CCUCAAAUCAGGUAGGACUACCCGCUGAACUUAAGCAUAUCAAUAAGCGGAGGAAAAGAAACUAACAAGGAUUCCCCUAGUAACUGCGAGUGAAGCGGGAAAAGCUCUAAUUUAAAAUCUGGUAGUCUUUGGCCAUCCGAGUUGUAAUCUAGAGAAGCGUUAUCCGCGCUGGACCGUGUAUAAGUCUCCUGGAAUGGAGCGUCAUAGAGGGUGAGAAUCCCGUCUUUGACACGGACUACCAGGGCUUUGUGAUACGCUCUCAAAGAGUCGAGUUGUUUGGGAAUGCAGCUCUAAAUGGGUGGUAAAUUCCAUCUAAAGCUAAAUAUUGGCGAGAGACCGAUAGCGAACAAGUACCGUGAGGGAAAGAUGAAAAGAACUUUGGAAAGAGAGUUAAACAGUACGUGAAAUUGUUGAGAGGGAAACGCUUGAAGUCAGUCGCGUUAACCGGGGAUCAACCUUGCUUCUGCUUGGUGUACUUCCUGGUUGACGGGUCAGCAUCAAUUUUGACCAGUGGAAAAAGUUCAAGGGAAUGUGGCAUCUUCGGAUGUGUUAUAGCCUUUGUUCGUAUACAUUGGUUGGGAUUGAGGAACUCAGCACGCCGCAAGGCCGGGUUUCGACCACGUUCGUGCUUAGGAUGCUGGCAUAAU